rnacentral:rRNA from 1 species
GAUGAACGCUAGCUGGAGGCUUAAUACAUGCAAGUCGAGCGGGAUUGGUAGCAAUACCAUGAGAGCGGCGCACGGGUGAGUAACGCGUACACGACCUACCUCUGACAGGGGGAUAGCCCUGGGAAACUGGGAUUAAUACCGCAUAUUAUUCUGAUUAAUAAAGGAUUGGAAUGAAAGUUCAGGCGGUCAGAGAUGGGUGUGCGUCUGAUUAGCUAGUUGGUGGGGUAACGGCCUACCAAGGCGAUGAUCAGUAGGGGGCGUGAGAGCGUGGUCCCCCACACGGGUACUGAGACACGGACCCGACUCCUACGGGAGGCAGCAGUAAGGAAUAUUGGACAAUGGCCGCAAGGCUGAUCCAGCCAUCCAGCGUGCAGGAAGAAGGCCCUAUGGGUUGUAAACUGCUUUUAUCAGGGAAGAAACCUCUGGAUUUACUCCGGAGCUGACGGUACCUGAAGAAUAAGCACCGGCUAACUCCGUGCCAGCAGCCGCCGUAAGAC